AAAAAGGCCCUUUUCAGGGCCACACAAC
rfam:Asian citrus Psyllid, Diaphorina citri - Florida Strain, whole genome shotgun sequence.